rnacentral:rRNA from 1 species
UACAGAGGUCUCGAGCGUUGUUCGGAUUCAUUGGGCGUAAAGGGUGCGUAAGCGGCGCGGUAAGUCGGGUGUGAAAUCUCGGAGCUUAACUCCGAAACUGCAUUCGAUACUGCCGUGCUUGAGGACUGGAGAGGAGACUGGAAUUUACGGUGUAGCGGUGAAAUGCGUAGAUAUCGUAAGGAACACCGGUGGCGAAGGCGGCAUCCUGGACCGGUAUUGACGCUGAGGCGCGAAAGCCAGGGGAGCAAACGGG